UGUACUUAAAACAAGAUGACGCUGGUCAGAUCCCUGAUGACCAAUUUCAAAAUGACUGUCAGAGCUGACUGUGCUGUUUCUGCAUGUAGCCCCCUCCCUUCACCUAUAAAAGCUCUUACCCCCUGAUUGUCAGUGGGGGGAAGUCAGCCUUUGGACAGGAGUACGCCCUCCGCCCGGUUGCCGGCAUCCAAAAUAAAGCAGACCAACCUUGCCUCUUUAUUGGCUUUUGAGGGGAGAGUAGCCAGACCCCAUUUUCAGUUACGGUAGGAUGUGUGGACAUGGAGGCACUGGUGAAGUGAGGGUGUGGUUGGCAGCACUUCAUGUCAGAGCUUGAUGUUUGUGAAGAUCUUGGCUUUUUAUUGGAGUGAAGUGGGAAGUCAAUGGAAGGUUCUGAGCCAGGCUCACUCUGGCUGCUGUGUAGGGAGACAGCAGCAAGGUCAAGGUGAUCAUAGGGAGGUCAGUCAGAAGUCUACUGCAGUAUUUAACUGAGAGAUUAAGAGUGGCUCAGAGCAGCGUGUUAGCAGUGUUGGUGGUGGCGAGUGGCCAUGUUUUUGUACGUGGGGCUUGCUGAUGGAUUGGAUGUGGGGUGAGAGAAGAGAGGUGUCAGGGAUGACUGCAAGGUUUUGGGCUUGGGUGAAAGGAAGGCUACAGUUAUCACCUGAGAGGGAAAGGAGCUGGAUUGGAGAUAAUUUAUAUGUUCCUCCAUUAGGUACAAAAUCUCACCUGAGUGCACUCGGGUAUAAUGAAGUUCUGGUGGUAAAUGAAGACGUUAAGAAUCAACUUUGGGAAGGCUAUGCAGUAAGGAUGGUGUUGAGGGAUGGGCAGAGAUAUGAGAAAACAUGGAUAAAGAGCUAUGCAGGCAAAACUCAGUCACGGGUACCAGAGACCUUCAUUAUGAAUUAGGGUAACAAAACUUUUAUUUUUGCAAAAUUAUUGUUUUCCAUAAUGGCUGCUUUUGUAGUCAUUAUUGUGAUUGAGUGUUAUAUACAAUGAAUAUUUGGUUCUAAGAAACAAACAAAAAACCUGCUGAUGGAAAGAAUGUGUACAUGCUUGUUGAGCUGUUUAAUAAAUAACUAUUUGAUGAUGA